UGCCUAAACCCUCAUUAGAGGGCAUGGCAUAAAAAUCCCGCUGCAGGACAGAGGGCUCGUCGUCAGCCCAAAACCUGCAGCGGGUCGUAUACCGAAAGGUAUACGGGUUCGUAAAGAACC
ncrna:unclassified sequences LOOT RNA